rnacentral:rRNA from 1 species
AGUGAACGCUGGCGGUAGGCCUAACACAUGCAAGUCGAACGGCAGCACAGUAAGAGCUUGCUCUUACGGGUGGCGAGUGGCGGACGGGUGAGGAAUACAUCGGAAUCUACUUUUUCGUGGGGGAUAACGUAGGGAAACUUACGCUAAUACCGCAUACGACCUACGGGUGAAAGCAGGGGAUCUUCGGACCUUGCGCGAUUGAAUGAGCCGAUGUCGGAUUAGCUAGUUGGCGGGGUAAAGGCCCACCAAGGCGACGAUCCGUAGCUGGUCUGAGAGGAUGAUCAGCCACACUGGGAGUGAGACACGGUACAGACUCCUACGGGAGGCAGCAGUGGGGAAUAUUGGACAAUGGGCGCAAGCCUGAUCCAGCCAUACCGAGUGGGUGAAGAAGGCCUUCGGGUUGUAAAGCCCUUUUGUUGGGAAAGAAAAGCAGCAGGUUAAUACCCCGCUGUUCUGACGGUACCCAAAGAAUAAGCACCGGCUAACUUCGUGC